rnacentral:misc_RNA from 1 species
UUAACUUGUCAAGUUUUCGGCGGCCCAAUGUGGCCCAGGUCAGACACAGUCCACGCUCCCGACGUUCUAGUUUCGAGGGGCGGGAGCCCCACCCCCGGGCGCCUCCGCGCGGCGAUCCACGCCUGUGUCUCGCCGACGGGCGGCGACGGCCGCUGGCCCGGGGAAGCAACAUGGCAUUGUACGCAGCUGUGGUUUGGUGCUCUGGGUGGCCGCCCCACGGGCGUCACCCGGCUUGUUUAAUGAUCCUUCCGCAGGUUCACCUACGGAAA